rnacentral:tRNA from 1 species
GAGGGUGUCGCUCAAGGGUAGAGUGUGUGCUUAGCAUGCACGAGGUCCUGGGUUCAAUCCCCAGCGCCUCCA